rnacentral:rRNA from 1 species
AUGCCGCGUGCAGGAUGAAGGCCUUCGGGUUGUAAACUGCUUUUGUACGGAACGAAACGGUCUACCCUAAUACGGUGGGCUAAUGACGGUACCGUAAGAAUAAGCACCGGCUAACUACGUGCCAGCAGCCGCGGUAAUACGUAGGGUGCGAGCGUUAAUCGGAAUUACUGGGCGUAAAGCGUGCGCAGGCGGUUAUAUAAGACAGAUGUGAAAUCCCCGGGCUCAACCUGGGACCUGCAUUUGUGACUGUAUAGCUAGAGUACGGUAGAGGGGGAUGGAAUUCCGCGUGUAGCAGUGAAAUGCGUAGAUAUGCGGAGGAACACCGAUGGCGAAGGCAAUCCCCUGGACCUGUACUGACGCUCAUGCACGAAAGCGUGGGGAGCAAACAGGAUUAGAUACCCUGGUAGUCCACGCCCUAAACGAUGUCAACUGGUUGUUGGGUCUUCACUGACUCAGUAACGAAGCUAACGCGUGAAGU